rnacentral:rRNA from 1 species
CCACGGGCGCACGGCGGAUGCCUUGGCACAGGGAGCCGAUGAAGGACGCGGCAAGCUGCGAUAAUCCCCGGCGAGGAGCACACAUCCUUCGACCCGGGGGUCUCCGAAUGGGCGAACCCAUGCACAGCAGUGUGCAUAUCCCCGGCCCGAACACAUAGGGCCGGGGAGGACAACCCGGGGAACUGAAACAUCUAAGUACCCGGAGGAGAGGAAAUCAAUCUCGAGACUCCCCGAGUAGCGGCGAGCGAAAGGGGACCGAUGGCCAAACCGUCGAGCGGGCAUACCCGGCAGGGGUUCCGCCGACGGGGUUGCAGGGCCGCGCAUCCGGGGGCUGCCGCCCCCGGGCGCAGGUCCGGCUGGGGAGCGGAACGGCAUGGGAGGGCCGGCCGCAGCGGGUGACAGCCCCGUACGCGAACCCAGACCGGACGGCGCGACGCGGUCCCUGAGUAGGGCCGGGCACGUGAAACCCGGUCCGAACCUGGGUGGACCACCAUCCAAGCCUGAGUACUACCCUGUGACCGAUAGCGCACCAGUACCGUGAGGGAAAGGUGAAAAGCACCCCGGGAGGGGAGUGAAACAGUACCUGAAACCGUGCGCCCACGAGCAGUCGGAGCAACUUUUAGUUGUGACGGCGUGCCUUUUGUAGAAUGAGCCAGCGAGUCGCUGGCGCGGGGCGAGGUUAACCGAAAGGGAGCCGGAGCGAAAGCGAGCCUUAACAGGGCGACUUGAGUCCCGCGCCGCGGACGCGAAGCCGGGUGAGCUAUCCGUGGGCAGGCUGAAGCGGGGGUAAGACCCCGUGGAGGGCCGAACGCACGUCGGUUGAAAACGGCGGCGAUGACCUGCGGAUAGGGGUGAAAGGCCAAUCAAACCCGGAGAUAUCUCGUUCUCCCCGAAAUAGCUUUAGGGCUAGCGUCGCGCGUUCACCGCCGGAGGUAGAGCACCGGAUGGACGAGGGGGCUUCGCCGCCUACCGAAUCCAACCGAACUCCGAAUGCCGGCGGCCCAGAGCGCGGCAGUCAGAGCAUGUGGGCUAAGCUGUGUGCUCGAGAGGGAAACAGCCCGGACCGCCCGCUAAGGUCCCCAAGUUCCAGCCGAGUGGCAAAGGAUGUGCGUCCGCCCAGACAACCAGGAUGUUGGCUUAGAAGCAGCCAUCCAUUCAAAGAGUGCGUAACAGCUCACUGGUCGAGUGGACAUGCGCCGACAAUACACGGGGCUAAGCUGGACACCGAAGCGGCGGGAUUUUAAUUCAUUAGAAUCGGUAGGGGAGCUUCCCAUGGGCGGAGAAGCCGGAGGGCGACCGACGGUGGAGCGCAUGGGAGUGAGAAUGCUGGCAUGAGUAGCGAGAGACGAGAGAGUAACUCGUCCGCCGUGAACCCGAGGUUUCCUGGGCAAGGCUAAUCCUCCCAGGGUCAGUCGGGGGCUAAGGCGAGGCCGGUAGGCGUAGCCGACGCGCAGCAGGCAGACAUUCCUGCACCGCGCACGCGGCGCUACGACCGACGGGGCGACGGAUGGGGGUGGCUCGGCGGGGUUCUGGACGUCCCCGUGAUGGAGCGCGGCCCGCGGACCAGGGAAAUCCGGUCCGCACGAAGGGCGAGGCUCCGGACGAAGCGACUGAGCGAAGCGAGUGAGCCCGAGGUCCCUAGAAAAACCCCUAGGCAGGCGCGUGCGCGCCCGUACCGCAAACCGACACAGGUGGGUGGGUAGAACAUACCGAGGCGAUCGGGUCAACCAUGGUCAAGGAACUCGGCACAAUGGCCCCGUAACUUCGGGAGAAGGGGUGCCCGCGCGUACGUGAACCGGCUCGCCCGGGGAGCGGAGGCGGGCCGCAGUGGAGAGGCCCAAGCGACUGUUUACCAAAAACACAGGACUCUGCAGAAGCCGCAAGGCGACGUAUAGGGUCUGACGCCUGCCCGGUGCCGGAAGGUCACGCGGAGGAGUUAGCGCAUCGCGCGAAGCCCCGAAGCCAAGCCCCGGUAAACGGCGGCCGUAACUAUAACGGUCCUAAGGUAGCGAAAUUCCU